rnacentral:rRNA from 1 species
GAUGAACGCUGGCGGCGUGCCUAAUACAUGCAAGUCGAGCGAACGGACGAGAAGCUUGCUUCUCUGAUGUUAGCGGCGGACGGGUGAGUAACACGUGGAUAACCUACCUAUAAGACUGGGAUAACUUCGGGAAACCGGAGCUAAUACCGGAUAAUAUUUUGAACCGCAUGGUUCAAAAGUGAAAGACGGUCUUGCUGUCACUUAUAGAUGGAUCCGCGCUGCAUUAGCUAGUUGGUAAGGUAACGGCUUACCAAGGCAACGAUGCAUAGCCGACCUGAGAGGGUGAUCGGCCACACUGGAACUGAGACACGGUCCAGACUCCUACGGGAGGCAGCAGUAGGGAAUCUUCCGCAAUGGGCGAAAGCCUGACGGAGCAACGCCGCGUGAGUGAUGAAGGUCUUCGGAUCGUAAAACUCUGUUAUUAGGGAAGAACAUAUGUGUAAGUAACUGUGCACAUCUUGACGGUACCUAAUCAGAAAGCCACGGCUAACUACGUGCCAGCAGCCGCGGUAAUACGUAGGUGGCAAGCGUUAUCCGGAAAUAUUGGGCGUAAAGCGCGCGUAGCGGUUUUUUAGUCUGAUGUGAAAGCCCACGGCUCAACCGUGGAGGGUCAUUGGAAACUGGAAAACUUGAGUGCAGAAGAGGAAAGUGGAAUUCCAUGUGUAGCGGUGAAAUGCGCAGAGAUAUGGAGGAACACCAGUGGCGAAGGCGACUUUCUGGUCUGUAACUGACGCUGAUGUGCGAAAGCGUGGGGAUCAAACAGGAUUAGAUACCCUGGUAGUCCACGCCGUAAACGAUGAGUGCUAAGUGUUAGGGGGUUUCCGCCCCUUAGUGCUGCAGCUAACGCAUUAAGCACUCCGCCUGGGGAGUACGACCGCAAGGUUGAAACUCAAAGGAAUUGACGGGGACCCGCACAAGCGGUGGAGCAUGUGGUUUAAUUCGAAGCAACGCGAAGAACCUUACCAAAUCUUGACAUCCUUUGACAACUCUAGAGAUAGAGCCUUCCCCUUCGGGGGACAAAGUGACAGGUGGUGCAUGGUUGUCGUCAGCUCGUGUCGUGAGAUGUUGGGUUAAGUCCCGCAACGAGCGCAACCCUUAAGCUUAGUUGCCAUCAUUAAGUUGGGCACUCUAAGUUGACUGCCGGUGACAAACCGGAGGAAGGUGGGGAUGACGUCAAAUCAUCAUGCCCCUUAUGGUUUGGGCUACACACGUGCUACAAUGGACAAUACAAAGGGCAGCGAAACCGCGAGGUCAAGCAAAUCCCAUAAAGUUGUUCUCAGUUCGGAUUGUAGUCUGCAACUCGACUACAUGAAGCUGGAAUCGCUAGUAAUCGUAGAUCAGCAUGCUACGGUGAAUACGUUCCCGGGUCU